CAGCAGCCGCGGUAAUACAGAGGGUGCGAGCGUUAAUCGGAUUUACUGGGCGUAAAGCGUGCGUAGGCGGCUUCUUAAGUCGGAUGUGAAAUCCCUGAGCUUAACUUAGGAAUUGCAUUCGAUACUGGGAAGCUAGAGUAUGGGAGAGGAUGGUAGAAUUCCAGGUGUAGCGGUGAAAUGCGUAGAGAUCUGGAGGAAUACCGAUGGCGAAGGCAGCCAUCUGGCCUAAUACUGACGCUGAGGUACGAAAGCAUGGGGGGCAAACAGGAUUAGAUACCCUGGUAGUCCAUGCCGUAAACGAUGUCUACUAGCCGUUGGGGCCUUUGAGGCUUUAGUGGCGCAGCUAACGCGAUAAGUAGACCGCCUGGGGAGUACGGUCGCAAGACUAAAACUCAAAGAAAUUGACGG
rnacentral:rRNA from 1 species